CAACUUGAGCUAUCAUGAAUGCAGAGCAUUUCGCAAAAAUGCCGCUGUUGGCGCUUGUACAUCCGCGACAGUGCCUGUCAGGGAGAGAUUGUAUGAUAUGAACCGUUUUAUCAGAAGUAUUUCCUCAUAAAAACAUGCUGAAAAAUCAACAAGGUGCCGAUGUCUUUAGACUGUGGGAGGAAACUGGAGUACCUGGAGAAUACCCACACAAACACGGAGAAAAUGUAAAAUCUCAGGAUCCCACAUGGGAUUCAAACCUGGGACCUACUUGCAUCAUGCCACCCCUAUUUAAUUCUACAUAAUAAACAUUAUGUAAACAAAUGAAUCCUUUCGUCUGUAAGGGGGACUUCUUGGUAGAGUUUUAACUGCCCCAGUUCUUUGACUGUCAAGUCUUUUGAUUUUGAAAAUGAAAAUGUAAAGGACAA